AUACGGAGGGUCCGAGCGUUAUCCGGAAUCAUUGGGUUUAAAGGGUCCGUAGGCGGGAAUCUAAGUCAGUGGUGAAAUCUUGCAGCUCAACUGUAACAUUGCCAUUGAUACUGGAUUUCUUGAAUUAGUGUGAAGUGGUUAGAAUGUGUAGUGUAGCGGUGAAAUGCAUAGAUAUUACACAGAAUACCAAUUGCGAAGGCAGAUCACUAACACUAUAUUGACGCUAAGGGACGAAAGCGUGGGGAGCGAACAGGAUUAGAAACCCCAGUAGUCC
rnacentral:rRNA from 1 species